rnacentral:lncRNA from 1 species
UAAAAAUAAAUCCACAAUGGUCUCCAAAUAUUUCAGAAAUUUUCUAAUAUAAAAAAGAACUUGUUUGGCUCGAUAUCAAAAUAGAAGGGGAAUAAAAAUACAUUGACAAGACAUAAGGGUGUGUUUUGCCAAACACACCCUUAUCAAAAGCAGUUUGGUUAAGUUGGGCUUAGGGCCCAGACCUGGCCCAUUCCCCUUUUAUUUAUAUACUGGGCUGGAUCUAGCCCAGCUCGUAUGCUGGGCCAGGCCCAUCCAGCCAGCCAGGUUGCUGGUUCAGACAAGUAACCCGUCUCCCUUUUCUUUCCUCUUUCUUUUUACUUGCAAGCGUGCGUGAACUGUUCACGCUUGCUACAGGAGGAGAGUACUUAAAAUGCAGGGAGGGGGGAAUUGAAAGUGACUUACCUGUUUUUGCAGCGAGCUUGAGCGGCAAGAUGCAGGUGCUGGAUGAAGCACUCCACGGAGUCCCUUUCUGCUCCUCGUCCUCUCCUCCCUUCUGCUCUCUUUUCUUUUUAUUUUCUCUCUGGUUUUUAUCUCUGUCUCGUCUCUGUUUUUUUGGUCACCCUUUUUUUCUCUCUAUUUUCGUCCUUUUUUCGAGUUUUCUGUCGUACCUUUUAUAGGCAUUCCUUCUUGCUACUCAUCCUCCCUUGUUAAGGAUAGAAUUUUAAGACUUUGUGUUUUGGCCGGAUUGGGACACCAACAGUCCCGUCAUUGCUGGACUGGUGGUGGUGGUUUCUUCCCCGCCUCAAUGACUUGCUACUGACGAGAACAAGCUGAGGAAACGGUGAUGGAAGUCGUUCGAGAUUGCCGUGCGUUUAGGUGGUUUGAUCGGCGUUUUUUUUCUUUUUUCCUCAGGGAGCUUUCCUGUGUUUUCUAGAGGAAGAAGACAGUGAACAGAGAUGAAAAACGAUGUCGUUUCUGGACUGGGCCAGCCGUUUUCCAAGCUCGUCCUCUAAGCUUUAACAUUUCUUAAUCGGACUCCUGAC